rnacentral:rRNA from 1 species
GAUGAACGCUGGCGGCGUGCCUAAUACAUGCCAGUCGAGCGAACAGACGAGGAGCUUGCUCCUCUGACGUUAGCGGCGGACGGGUGAGUAACACGUGGAUAACCUACCUAUAAGACUGGGAUAACUUCGGGAAACCGGAGCUAAUACCGGAUAAUAUAUUGAACCGCAUGGUUCAAUAGUGAAAGACGGGUUUGCUGUCACUUAUAGAUGGAUCCGCGCCGCAUUAGCUAGUUGGUAAGGUAACGGCUUACCAAGGCAACGAUGCGUAGCCGACCUGAGAGGGUGAUCAGCCACACUGGAACUGAGACACGGUCCAGACUCCUACGGGAGGCAGCAGUAGGGAAUCUUCCGCAAUGGGCGAAAGCCUGACGGAGCAACGCCGCGUGAGUGAUGAAGGUCUUCGGAUCGUAAAACUCUGUUAUUAGGGAAGAACAAAUGUGUAAGUAACUAUGCACGUCUUGACGGUACCUAAUCAGAAAGCCACGGCUAACUACGUG